rnacentral:rRNA from 1 species
UCCUGAAUGGGGAAACCCACUUACAUAAGUAAGUAUCCUGUUGUGAAUACAUAGCAACAGGAGGCAAACCGGGGGAACUGAAACAUCUAAGUACCCCGAGGAAGAGAAAUCAACCGAGAUUCCGAAAGUAGCGGCGAGCGAAAUUGGAUUAGCCCUUAAGCUUUUAAUGAGACAGACGAAGGCUCUGGAAAGUGCCGCAAUAAAGGGUGAUAGCCCCGUA